UGACAGAUUUAUUCAUGAAUAUGAAACUAAGUUGUAUGAGUUAUACACUCACUUAUAUAAUUUUUAUAGUUAAUAGAUCUUCCCCUUACUAAGUGAAAGGAGUAUUUGUUUCUCCAUGGGGUGGGAACUCUUUGUACCAUACUGGUACUUUAAUAGAUGGUCUAAUUGAUAUCAACCCAAUUAAUUUACCAGGUCUACCACGUGUUCUAAAUUGGUUAGACAUUAUACCCAUUUGAAUUGCCUUCACUCCUGAGUCUCUGAGUGUCAGGUUCAAGCUGCUGACCGACGAGGUAUGUGCUAUAUUAUAGAGAUUUCUUUAAUGAUUGGCACUAAUGAACUACACCCCCUGUGGGUAGCACUUUGAGUAAUUUCUUUGAAUUAUUCGAUCAUAGAUCAGUGAUACCGUCCAUAAAGGAUGGGUUUCCCUAAUAAACAUAUCAUGUGGGUUCACUAUACUGAUGGUUAAUACAAUUAGUCCUGGGUUUUCCAAAUAUGAAUAAAUGGCUGGUUAUAAUCAGAUCAUUUAGUAGAGGAUCGUUGUAUAGUGGUAACAUUGGUGUUUGUUAUAGCCAAUUCUGUGGCUUUGUUCUGUAUCAUAUAUAGAAACCACACGGGUUAGUCAUGAGAUCUGUUCAUUAGUGAUCAGACAUUAAUGAUACCAGAAUUUUUAUAAUUAUGGGUGUCAAAAUAAGAUAGGGGUCUAUUUAUGAACUCGUAGGUGUUCUUAUAAUUAAUACCCAAUUAAUCAAUUUAUUAGGUUCCUUAUGCUUGUGAACCAGUUAGAUUCUAUACACAUAUGAAUCUUCCCCAUAUUCGAAUAUCUGAAUGUCAGACUCAAGCUGAUGAUAUAUGAGGUAUGGUCCUCGCUGUAUCAAUCAAGUCCCAUUGAAAUAUUGAAACGUUGUUCAUACAUCUUUGAAUGACCUUUUAUGUGCUGACAAUAUGUUCUGAAAUGAAGAGAUUUUACCCCUGAUGAAGUCUUGGAACAAGACGAAACGCGUUGGGUUAUUUAUCUAUCUAUUAUCUGAUGUUACCUCCGAAUCUACAAUAAGGAGAAGGAGGAAAUCGUAGUGAUAUAUCUACGCUUUUUCCUCAUCACUACAAACUGAUUGUUCAAAUUGUGCGACAAAUGUAAAUGUAUCAACUCUGUAUACUUAUGAACAUUUGU